UACGUAGGGGCCGAGCGUUGUCCGGAGUUACUGGGCGUAAAGCGCGCGCAGGCGGCCGCUCGCAGCCCGCCGUGAAAGCCCCCGGCUCAACCGGGGAGGGUCGGCGGGGACGGGGCGGCUUGAGGACGGCAGGGGCCGGUGGAAUCCCCGGUGUAGUGGUGAAAUGCGUAGAGAUCGGGGGGAACACCCGUGGCGAAGGCGGCCGGCUGGGCCGGGCCUGACGCUGAGGCGCGAAGGCGUGGGGAGCGAACGGGAUUAGAUACCCCGGUAGUCCACGCAGUAAACGAUGCGGACUGGGCGUGGGGGGACUUGACCCCCUCCGUGCCGGAGCCAACGCGGGAAGUCCGCCGCCUGGGGAGUACGGCCGCAAGGCUAAA
rnacentral:rRNA from 1 species